rnacentral:lncRNA from 1 species
AAUGCUACACUUCCUUAGCUAGGAGCUAGCAAUGCUACGUGGAAUUGCAUGUCGAAAAUAUUUAAAAAGUCAACCUGCCAUCUCUCCUGCCCUGCUCGUCCAAGUUCCCACUCUAGUUCCAGUACUGGCAGGCUUCACCACUAUAUCCCAGCAGGGUCCUGCUUGGCAUGUUCUCCCAGGUAUCUUCUGAGAGGUUGUUCUCUCUCCACUUCUCAUUCAAGUCUGAAGAUGCUUACAGUCACCUGCAGUACUUCUAAAUCAGAGUUUUGAGAUGGAAGAGGUCACAGCUCCAAUGAUCUCAGCCGAAGAAGAUGAGGAAGAAGACCAGCACAAGUGGUAAGAAUCAGCUCUCCAAGGAAUGUCUUCCUGCCCGGUGUCCUGGACAACUGCCUGUCUUUAGAAUUAACAAAUGCUCUGACUUGCAGAGUCUCUCUCAAAUCAGCUUUUGCUGGUAUCAGGAUUUCUCUGGAGGACUCAACAAAGUCCUCUCCAUGCCUGAGAUUCCUACAAUGAUUGAAAUUCCAUUGUUUCUUCCCCGUGGGUAUGUAUUUCUGCCUUUGGACGGACAACUUCAGUCCAGCUUUCACAUGUCCCUCAGAACCACUCUGUGCAGAUUGUGACCUGAUGCUUCUAACACACUGUCCUUCACCAGUCCCUAUGCCCUCAACCCCUACACUCUAUCAUACACAUCUUACUGGACAAAAUGCCUACUUGUGUCAUUCACUUCUUGCUGGACAUGCUGAGGUUUUGGAUAACCUGUCCAUCUUUCAGUCUCAGCUGUUCCAAAGGUGCAGGCUCUCACACUCUCCAGUGCUUCAGCCCCUUCACGUUUCACAUAUAUUUCACCUGAGUGAUUAUUUUAGAUUCUGACAGUGUGGAUUCAUCACGGUGUUUCAUUUGGUUGGUUUUAUAUCGCAUUUCUGUUUUUACCAAGAAAACUCAUUUUUUCCUCUAAAACUCAUCUUAAUGUUGCUUCCCAGUAAAGACUUCUCUGUUAGUAGCCUCCUCUGCAUUCCUUGAGCAACCCCAGCUCAUGGCCAUCCCAGUGGUCACGAAAGGGGCAUCUCAGUUGACUGGUCCCUUCUUGUCUGCUUCCCUUCCUAGAAUAACCAUAAGCUUCCUGAGGGAGUGCACCUCAGAGAGGCCUCGCCUGGGACUUGAAAGUAAGGAGAAAACAGCACAAGAAUUUUCUGGGGAAUAAAGAUGUCCUCUGAAGUUCUAAGCCAAGCAGAGAGAAAACUCACAUUUAUUUUAUAAAAGGUCAACUCUUAGGAUAUGUUCCGAUAUUACUAGCUUUUCUCAACACUAUGACAGAACAUCUGACAGGAACAAUUUAAAGGAAGAAGUUUUUAUAUUAAUUCUUGGUUUGGGGCAGAUGCAACCCAUCAUGGCAGAAGGCAGGGUGGUGGAAGCACAAAGCCACUGGUUACAUUGUGACAGAAAGCAGAGAUCAGAGUAAGAUCUGAGCUGGUCCUCAGCUGGCUUCCUCUCUUUUUAUUCAAUCUGGGAUUCUAGUUUAUGAGAUGUUGCUACUGAGGGUGGGUUCUUUCUCCAAUGGGUAAACAUCUCUAGAAAUGUUCUCACGAAUACACCUAGAAUUGUGUCUCCUAUGUGAUUCCAGAUCCAGUUAAGUUGACAGUUGAAGAUAAAACCAUUAUACUUCUUAGUCUCAUUUAUUCCUUGAACUAGACAAGAAGGAGCCCAGACAAGGUUGCUGUACCAGCAUCUGGAAUAUCCAGAUUGUUCUCCAUUCUGGUUAGGUUUGUUUGCUUUGUUUUCUUGUCAACUUGACAUAAGCGACAGUUUUCUGAGAAGAAACACAACUGAGAAAAUGCCUCCAUCAGACUGCCUAAAAGUCUGUAGGGUGGUUUAUUGUUGUUGUUAGUUGGUCAGUUUUGAUUUUUGUUUUGUUUCUUUUUUCUUUCUUUUUUUUUUUUUCCGUAAAUUAAUGACUGAUUCGGAAGCAUCCAGCCCACUGUACGCUGUGGCAUUUGGACAGGUUCUUGCCUCGAGUUCCUGCUCUGCCUUCAUUUCACUAUACCUAGAAGCUGAAAUAAACUAUUUCCUCCACAA